rnacentral:piRNA from 1 species
UUUGUUGAGCAAUCUUAAUUGUGUGUGUGU